CUUCUGGUUACGUACUCUCUGGCUUGUUUAUCUGACUCUGUGACUUUCUCCUACCCUUUGACCUCGGCUCGUUUCACGUUAUUCUGUCUUCUGGUUCCCCUUUACUCGGCUUGUCUCCUGACUAUUCUGUGUGUGCUUAGCCCGGCCACUCUAAGGUCCGGUACGGCACCUUUUGUGUGUGUGUGUGUGUGUGUGUGUGCCAGCGUGUUGGGUUCCCCGAAUCGUGACAGCUUCAUCCAACCACCAAACAAUGCUAAUUAGUGAUUCACUGAAAAGAAAGAAAUUUUUCUGAUAGCAGAGUAAAGGGUUCUUUACAGUAAGAAAAAAAAAAGAUAUGGUGUUGUGUGAAAAUAGUUGGGGGGGGGGAGGGGGUUCCAGAAAUUUUUGACAGAUUUACAGAUUUGUAGAAUUAUUAUUUGUUUUUUUUUUAGAAAAUACUUAAUAUUCAAUGAUAUAAAAGGUUAAUAUUUAGGGUAACAGUUUGUGAAUCAAAACAGAAAAUAAACUGACAUUUUGGAGUCAGGAGGAUAUUUUAUCAAAAUUGUAUGUAUAACCAUAUAAUUAUUAUUAACAAGAAAAUGGUGGGCACACCCAGCUGUCAGCCAUAUACAGAUAAGGGUGCUCACUCAGAAAGCCUAUUUCCAAAGGCUAAUGAUACAGUAUAAUUUAGUACUGAAUGAGGAGUACAGCCAGCUAAAAUACAAAGCACUUUAUCGUACAGGUACAAAAGUAACAGGUAUCACCAAGUAUCCAAUCUAUAAAUCAAGGUAUAAAUGUUAUCAUACAUGUACAGCGCUACGGAAUCUGAUGGCGCUAUAUAAAUAAUAAAAUCAUAAUGUACAGUCAAUAUGAAGGCUCUGACCCCAAAAAAAAUAAGAAAGUAUCAAUCUUGAAUAUGCAGACUAAAUGGUACUAAUCCAAAUACCGUAGAGAAUGGAUAACUAUAUACAGAUGUUAACCAAAUAGUACAUACCAGAACCAAUUGAACCUAUUAACCCCUUAAGGACCAAACUUCUGGAAUGAAAGGGAAUCAUGACAUGUCACACAUGUCAUGGGUCCUUAAGGGGUUAAAGCGAAUGAGAGGAGGGUGAGAAAGUCACAGAAUAGCCCCCAACGUUUUGGCGCUGUACACCUUUAUCAAGGGAGCAUGUGCUUCAAUAGGUUCAAUAGAUUCUCUUAUGUACUAUUUGGUUAACAUUUGUAUAUAGGUAUCCAUUCUCUUCGCUGUACAUGUAUGAUAACAUUUAUACUUUGUUACUCAUUAUACACUCCUACUUUUUUUUUUUUCUUUAUAGAAACGUAGGUUUAUUUAGAAAAGUACAGUAUAAAAAAAAAGUUGCUUAACUGACACUACAUCUUCACGCUCAAAGGGCUUCAAAGUAAACAAAAGAGCACAUUUAUUUUAAGGAGACGUACAUUUGCAUAUGACCAAUGUUUUAACCCCUUAACACCGUUACGGCGUUCUAUGCCGUCCCGGCUUUAAAGGGCUUUAAAGCCGUUGCGGCGGCAUAGAACGCCGUAACAGCUUUGAGCCCCUGGAGGUGAGAUUUACUUACCUCCGCCGCGAUCCUCUUCUGGAGGGCUGCCUCACAGCCCAGGCAGCCCUCCCACGGCAAAUGGCAAAUGAGGUUCCAUAUAUGAAUAGGAUC